rnacentral:rRNA from 1 species
GGAAGUAAAAGUCGUAAACAAGGUUUCCGUAGGUGAACCUGCGGAAGGAUCAUUAAAGAGUAAGGGUGCUCAGCGCCCGACCUCCAACCCUUUGUUGUUAAAACUACCUUGUUGCUUUGGCGGGACCGCUCGGUCUCGAGCCGCUGGGGAUUCGUCCCAGGCGAGCGCCCGCCAGAGUUAAACCAAACUCUUGUUAUUUAACCGGUCGUCUGAGUUAAAAUUUUGAAUAAAUCAAAACUUUCAACAACGGAUCUCUUGGUUCUCGCAUCGAUGAAGAACGCAGCGAAAUGCGAUAAGUAAUGUGAAUUGCAGAAUUCAGUGAAUCAUCGAAUCUUUGAACGCACAUUGCGCCCCUUGGUAUUCCGAGGGGCAUGCCUGUUCGAGCGUCAUUACACCACUCAAGCUAUGCUUGGUAUUGGGUGCCGUCCUUAGUUGGGCGCGCCUCAAAGACCUCGGCGAGGCCUCACCGGCUUUAGGCGUAGUAGAAUUUAUUCGAACGUCUGUCAAAGGAGAGGACUUCUGCCGACUGAAACCUUUUAUUUUUCUAGGUUGACCUCGGAUCAGGUAGGGAUACCCGCUGAACUUAAGCAUAUCAAUAAGCGGAGGAAAAGAAACCAACAGGGAUUGCCUUAGUAACG